UACGUAGGGUGCGAGCGUUAAUCGGAAUUACUGGGCGUAAAGCGUGCGCAGGCGGUUCGUUAUGUCCGAUGUGAAAGCCCCGAGCUCAACUUGGGAAUGGCAUUGGAAACUGGCGGGCUGGAGUGUGGCAGAGGGGGGUGGAAUUCCAGGUGUAGCAGUGAAAUGCGUAGAUAUCUGGAGGAACACCGAUGGCGAAGGCAGCCUCCUGGGCUAGUACUGACGCUCAUGCACGAAAGCGUGGGGAGCAAACAGG
rnacentral:rRNA from 1 species